ACAGGUGUAGCAAUACAUGCUGACGAGUGGCAGACGGGUGAGGAACACGUACGCAACCUCCCUCAAACCGGGGCACAACCUUGAGAAAUCAGGGCUAAUUCCCCAUAACAUUGCGAAAGGGCAUCCAAUUGCAAUUAAAGAUUCAUCAGUUUGAGAUGGGCGUGCGUUCGAUUAGCUAGUUGGUAGGGUAACGGCUUACCAAGGCAACGAUCGAUAGCUGGUGUGAGAGCACGACCAGCCACACGGGCACUGAGAUACGGGCCCGACUCCUACGGGAGGCAGCAGUAAGGAAUAUUGGUCAAUGGACGAAAGUCUGAACCAGCCAUGCCGCGUGAGGGAUGAAGGUUCUCUGAAUUGUAAACCUCUUUUAUUUGGGAAUAAACGUUCCGUUUCUACGGAAUUUGAAGGUACCAGAUGAAUAAGCACCGGCUAACUCCGUGCCAGCAGCCGCGGUAAUACGGAGGGUGCAAGCGUUAUCCGGAUUUACUGGGUUUAAAGGGUGCGUAGGUUGAUUGGUAAGUUAGUGGUGAAAUACUACAGCGCAACUGUGGAACUGCCAUUAAUACUAUCAAUCUUGAAUGCAGU
rnacentral:rRNA from 1 species